AUAUGGCAGCAAAUUUAGUCGUUGUGAAAAAUACUAAUUUAAUAUUUUAAAAAAGAAAAACAAAACAAAUACAAUUCUCAUCCUUCUAUCACAUCCCAUUCCAACAACUGUAAAAACCUGACUUAACAACUCAAGACAUUCUAUCCCUCUCCGCCAACAACCACACGCAUCACGCUUGUGCCAUAAACCCACGGUGUCGUUCAACCGCUAACCACGACCUCCCUCUAUCACGAGUCCCAAAACCACCAUGGUCAACAAAGCUUUUAUGUCGUACCCACAGCUUAACACUUUCUCAAAGACCCAAAAAUCUGCGUUGUGCUCUCGAAUCUGACCAAUUCAAUCACUUUCUCGCCACCCACCGCCAGUUGCACCACCGUGACACCCAGUCAUGAGAUCACCACCACUUAUCAAUUUUGCUGCGAUCUUCUGCUACAGAAGCUUCUAUUUGGCGAGUAGCCAUCCAGCUCUCAAACCAGCUCCAGCCAAUAUUUGAUACUCUGCCGUCCGAUUUUGUAUGCUUCAUUGAACAGAUGUACUUUAGAAUUUAUCACACCAAUUGUUUCUUAGCUUAUAAAUUCAUUUUUAUGUCUUACUCUCAUCUGCUGAUGAAUUAUACCCAAGAUGGUGGAGAGCAGCACUUAGGUAGUCAGUUUAGGAGUGCAUGGAGCUUCCUGAAAACCAUUGAAUGUGAUUGAUCGCAAACGCUAGUCGGUUUGUUCUGUCAUUGCUUUGGGUUUUUCAUUGCUUAUUGUUCAUUUACUUUAUGAGUCAAAUUUUCUUGCCAGUGUUGCAGUUGCUCCAUGCUACUGAAACUGAUGUCAAAUGAUGCUGAUGUUCAAUGAUAUUGUUGUCUCGCUGUUGAGUAUUCUGAACUUAGCAGCAUCAACUAUCAGCAACCAAAGGUUAUCAAACUAGAACGAACAUAACCUGAAGUUGUGCUAAGGCGGCGACGGGGUUGAUGAUGUGGUGCUGCAAUGGGUAUGUUUGUUGUUGAGUGCUUGGGGCUACUGUAAUUUUUUUGAUUUUUCAUCUCAAAGCUACCGGCAUAUAUGAAAAAAAGGAUUGGAUAUGCUAUUUCUAAGGCAAAUGUAAUUCUCAUUUUGUGAGAAUUAGUAAAGUUAUUGCAUAUUUAUGAAAUGAGAUUGUUUGUAUUUGGGGUAGUGGUUUCAAGAUGUAUCUUAUAUUGACGAAUUGUUUGAACAAAAUAUGAUAUACAAGUGAUUAUUUUUUUUAGA